rnacentral:rRNA from 1 species
CUGGGUAUAAUACCCGAUAAGUUCUCGAUUGCUGGAAUGCAUCGAGCUUGAAAGCUCCGGCGCUCAAGGAUGGGUCUGCGGCCUAUCAGGUAGUAGUGGGUGUAGCGUACCUACUAGCNUACGACGGGUACGGGUUGUGAGAGCAAGAGCCCGAAGAUGGAUUNUGAGACACGAAUCCAGGCCNUACGGGGUGCAGCAGGCGCGAAAACUUUACAAUGCUGGAAACAGCGAUAAGGGGACCUCGAGUGCCAGGUUACAAAUCUGGCUGUCGUGAUGCCUAAAAAGCAUUGCAUAGCAAGGGCCGGGCAAGACCGGUGCCAGCCGCCGCGGUAACACCGGCGGCUCGGGUGGUAACCGUUAUUAUUGGGUCUAAAGGGUCUGUAGCCGGCCGGAUAAGUCUCUUGGGAAAUCUGGCAGCUUAACUGUCAGGCUUUCAGGAGAUACUGUCUGGCUCGAGGCCGGGAGAGGUGAGAGGUACUUCAGGGGUAGGGGUGAAAUCUUGUAAUCCUUGAAGGACCACCAGUGGCGAAGGCGUCUCACCAGAACGGACCUGACGGCAAGGGACGAAAGCUAGGGGCACGAACCGGAUUAGAUACCCGGGUAGUCCUAGCCGUAAACGAUACUCGCUAGGUGUCGGCAACGGUGCGACCGUUGUCGGUGCCGUAGGGAAGCCGUGAAGCGAGCCACCUGGGAAGUACGGCCGCAAGGCUGAAACUUAA